rnacentral:misc_RNA from 1 species
UGACAACCCAGACUUUAAGGAUGAUCCCGAGCUCUAUGUUUAUCCCAAAUUGAAAUACGUUGGUAUUGAGUUGUGGCAGGUGAAAUCAGGCACCUUGUUUGACAAUGUCUUGAUUACUGACGAUCCGGAAUACGCAAAGAAGGUUGCCGAAGAAACAUGGGGCAAGCACAAGGAGGUGGAGAAAGCUGCAUUUGAGGAGGCAGAGAAGAAAAGAGAGGAGGAGGAAGCCAAGAAUGAUCCAGUUGACUCAGAUGUUGAGGACGAAGACGAAGACAAAGUUGACGAUGCAGAUGACUCCGACGCAGAGGCCGAUUUGGACAAAAAGGACGACGGAGCCGAGGACAAGGAUGAUGACAAACAUGAUGAACUGUAAGGGAGAAGAGGUGGAGUUCGCUUGAAGAAAAUUUUCCCUUUUUCCCCCUUUGUUUUUGUUUUGUUUUUUUAGGUGUAGGAUUAUCCGUUGGAGUAAAGAAACAGUCUUCUUGAUUUGCUUUCAUGCAUAUGAAUGAAUGACUGAUCUGCUUAAAUUUCAGUUUGAGUUUGAGCCAUUAGGAAGAGAGAAGAAAAGAAUAGGACAAUUUGAUGAAUCAAUGGGGGUCCUGUGCUGGAUUUUAAUUUGAGUUCUCUUACAAAG